rnacentral:rRNA from 1 species
AUUGAACGCUGGCGGCAGGCCUAACACAUGCAAGUCGAACGAGGGGCGGACGGGUGAGUAAUGUCUGGGAAACUGCCCGAUGGGGGGGGAUAAAUACUGGACACGGUAGCUUAUACCGCAUACCCUCGGAUGUGCCCAUAUGGGAUGAGCUAGUAGGUGGGGUAACGGCUCACCUAGGCGACGAUCCCUAGCUGGUCUGAGAGGAUGACCAGCCACACUGGAACUGAGACACGGUCCAGACUCCUACGGGAGUCAGCAGUGGGGAAUAUUGCACAAUGGGCGCAAGCCUGAUACAGCCAUGCCGCGUGUAUGAAGAAGGCCUUCGGGUUGUAAAGUACUUUCAGCGGGGAGGCGUUACCCGCAGAAGAAGCACCGGCUAACUCCGUGCCAGCAGCCGCGGUAAUUC